UUAGCUCAAAAAAGUGGAAAGAGGCUUCAGCUGAGAAAGAAAGACUCAUAUGGACAUCUAUAAAGAGAAAAAAAAAGUGAUGCACCUGACGCUAUAACAAGGGUUGAUGUAUGGAUCGAAGGUCACAUGAGGAAGGGUGGGAAACCUUUGAACGAUGUGACAGAAGAAGCAGUGAAACAAAUGAAAGAGUACACCAAAACCCAACCUAAAGGCACAAGCUCUCUUCGAGAUGAUGGACUCACUCAUGUACUUGGUCCAGA